AUAGCGGAGGAAAAGAAACCAACUGGGAUUACCUUAGUAACGGCGAGUGAAGCGGUAAAAGCUCAAAUUUGAAAUCUGGUACUUUCAGUGCCCGAGUUGUAAUUUGUAGAAUUUGUCUUUGAUUAGGUCCUUGUCUAUGUUCCUUGGAACAGGACGUCAUAGAGGGUGAGAAUCCCGUUUGGCGAGGAUACCUUUUCUCUGUAAGACUUUUUCGAAGAGUCGAGUUGUUUGGGAAUGCAGCUCAAAGUGGGUGGUAAAUUCCAUCUAAAGCUAAAUAUUGGCGAGAGACCGAUAGCGAACAAGUACAGUGAUGGAAAGAUGAAAAGAACUUUGAAAAGAGAGUGAAAAAGUACGUGAAAUUGUUGAAAGGGAAGGGCAUUUGAUCAGACAUGGUGUUUUUUGCAUGCACUCGCCUCUCGUGGGCUUGGGCCUCUCAAAAAUUUCACUGGGCCAACAUCAAUUCUGGCAGCAGGAUAAAUCAUUAAGAAUGUAGCUACUUCGGUAGUGUUAUAGCUUUUUGGAAUACUGUUAGCCGGGAUUGAGGACUGCGCUUCGGCAAGGAUGUUGGCAUAAUGGUUAAAUGCCGCCCGUCUA
rnacentral:rRNA from 1 species